UACGUAGGGUGCGAGCGUUGUCCGGAAUUACUGGGCGUAAAGAGCUCGUAGGCGGUUUGUCACGUCGUCUGUGAAAUCCUAGGGCUUAACCCUGGACGUGCAGGCGAUACGGGCUGACUUGAGUACUACAGGGGAGACUGGAAUUUCUGGUGUAGCGGUGGAAUGCACAGAUAUCAGGAAGAACACCGAUGGCGAAGGCAGGUCUCUGGGUAGUAACUGACGCUGAGGAGCGAAAGCAUGGGUAGCGAACAGG
rnacentral:ncRNA from 4 species